rnacentral:lncRNA from 1 species
UAUAAUCAUCUAGUGGGCUGGAUACUCUGGCUUCUUGACUAGCAUGUGCUUUCCCUACAGGCAGAUCUAAGUGGGAAGCCAAAUUAUCAUCAGAGGGCGGCUUGGUGAGCAUGGAAUCAGGCCAGGGGAGUUCGUUAUGAGAUUUGGCAUUCCUGAGCUUUUUAUUCUUUAUACCAAGCAGCGCUGAGAAGCACAGACUCGCUGACUGUGGCUGGCUGCCUCUGCUCUUGCUGUUCCCUCCGACUUUCCAUUGUUCCCUCGGGUGAGCUACGUGUAAAGCAGGACCCAGCUCAACCACCUCCUCCUCUGGAAAGCCUUGAUCUUCCCCCAGACAGAGACCGCAGGUAUGUCUCCCCCUGUGCAGAUGGCUACUCCACCAGCAGUGCAUGUGUAUCUGAAGGUUGGCUGGGUUGUGCGCAUGGAAAGAAGAAAACAAGAGAGGGAGGUAAAAAUCCACAGAAACCUAAAUCAAAAGCAAGUGUCGUAUGUACCAUGAGGGGAGCAGGCGGGCCUUGUUUCCGCGCACACGCCACUCUGUCUUUGCCGCUCAGACUGAUCUUUGAAAUAAAAUAAAGAAGCAUGGCAAACUAACUGAAACAUAGGUAGAAAUAAUAUAUUUGGGUUUCAGAAAGAAAAAAAAAAAUUAACCUGGCAUAGCUUGAAAGGCAACCCAUUUCAUAACAACACAUGUGCAAAGAAUUACAAUAAUUGCAGUGCACACAUCGGUAACAGACAGAGGGAACAAUGAAUAUUAAAAACACAUUCCUAGCACUGGCCCCAUGGCUUGGCAGCGGCACGCAGCGUGGAGACCCACGCGGGAGUCGGAGGAAGGCGCUUGGCUUCCAGAGCUGUCAGGGCUUGGCAGGAGCCGAGGAGGAGAGAGGAGGACGGGAGGUGGCAGAGACCGUCCCCAUCAUGGCGACUCCUCUCUCCCACUGACAGCGCCCUAGGGUGGCUUCAGGAGGGGAGCACAGAGGAAGUCUGCCUCCAGCCUUCUGGGGCUCUGGUUCAGAGCUGAAUCCGAGCCAGGCUGAGAAGGAGGAGGGCUGAGGAUAGAAAAACAAACACCAAAGAACAGACAGAAGGUAACGCUGGGAACACCCAGACGGUGCCCUGGCCGGGCGUCCCAGGCCUCUCUCUCAAGGCUCGCCUCCAGCAGGAUCCAGCAGGUUGGACUUCACUGCUGUGGAGACAGAAACCAGGAACAUGUUUUUCUUCUGUGGACUAAAUGCAUGGCUCUGCCUUUUGCCUUCAGUAUUUGCUAUGCGGUGGCAUUAAAGUCUGCAGCAGGGUGAAUUCUCCUGGUGGUUUAUUCUAAAUCCUUCAAAGGCACAUUAACCAAACACCCAAGGUACACAAUGAUCUUUUCACCAUGAAUCCUUCCCAUUGUCAGCAAUUACAAAAGCCCUUCUCUUAAGUACAGCUUUGGUUGCGAACAUUCAGAUUUUGUCUCUUGCCAUUGGCAAGGAAUUGACUUUUCAGUCCUUGCAACUUUGGCAAUGAGACAGGCCAGAGAGUGAGAAUCUCUAACCAGAAAGUUUGGUUCACACACUGGGAGCUGAGACCCGCAGAUUCUUACCCUGAGGACCAUGAACAUCCAAGGAGUUGGUGAAGCAGAAUUCAGGGACAUCCAUACACGUGGAUGGGAAAAAAAUGACAUCUUUAUUUUUGCUGAUAUCUGAGAUUUAGCAUUCCCUUACAUUACGGGUAUAGGAAACAAACCAUUAUAGUACUAGUUAAUACAUAUGACUUUGUCAUGGAUGUUUUCAUGUCAUUUCACAGUUAUUUCAGAUAUCUCUAAUUAUUAUCUAUGCUCAUCACUACUAGGAAUUUUGGUAACUAUUAGACCUGCCACAAGAUCUUGUCUUGUGCACUGGUGAAGAAGCACAUAGCAAAAUAAAAUAAUUUGUUGACUAUAUCUUAAUAUAUUAUUUUCCCUUGACAUGUUAUAUACUGCUUUUCAUUAUUUUUAAGAAGAUUAUUCUGGGAAGAGUACAUAGGCCACUUGGCCUCACUGCGGAGGCCUCCAGGGCACACGCAACAUCUACCUGAAGAAGGACCCAGUCUCUAGAGCAGUCAUGAGGGGUUGGUGAUUCCCACCGUCACACAGUGCUCCCUCAGCGGGUCGGCCUUAGGCUUGUCUCCACAGAAGAGGGAGAGAAGGGAGCCGCAAACAUGCAUUUCAAGGCUCAACCCUGAGGACUUAACAGAGGAGCUUCUGGCCUGUCCUUUCUUAAGAGAUGCUCAGUAAACCUUAGCAUCUGCCAGACAAAAAUUUGCAUUAUCUCUUCAGUGAUUUGUGGCACAGCUUCAAAAUGGUUUCAUUAAAAAGAAAAUAUUGGAGGAGAAUGGAUACAUGUACAUAUAUGACUGAAUCCCUUUGCUGUCCACCUGGAAAUAUCACUGCAUUUGUUAAUUGGCUAUAUUACAAUAUAAAAUAAAAUGUUAAAAAAUAAAAUAAACUCCUCAAACAACUUCUCCAGUUUCUCCAGAUGUUGGCCAAGAGUGUUUGCCAUAAAAUCACAGUUGAUAAGGUAGAGAAAAGCCAAAGCUAAUGAGGAACUAACUAUAUUUGCCAGUUUCCAAACCAAAGGCAGCAGGAACAGCUAUUAGAGGAGUGGUAAAAGAAUCAGA